rnacentral:tRNA from 1 species
UAGCUCAGUAGGCAGAGCGUGUGGCUGUUAACCACAAGGUCGGUGGUUCGAACCCAUC